rnacentral:rRNA from 1 species
UGGUUAGUCCGCAACGAGCGCAACCCUUGCCAUCAGUUGCUACGAAAGGGCACUCUGAUGGGACUGCCGGUGACAAACCGGAGGAAGUGGGGAUGACGUCAAGUCCUCAUGGCCCUUAUAGGUGGGGCUACACACGUCAUACAAUGGCCGGUACAAAGGGCAGCCAACCCGCGAGGGGGGAGCCAAUCCCAUAAAGCCGGUCGUAGUCCGGAUCGCAGUCUGCAACUCGACUGCGUGAAGUCGGAAUCGCUAGUAAUCGUGGAUCAGUAUGUCACGGUGAAUACGUUCCCGGGUCUU